AUGACUGAAGAUGUGCCGAGCAGCACUCAGUACCUCGAGGUCAAGAGCCUGACAACACAAGAUUCUACUGUUUACUUCGGUGCUCGAGAAAGCACAGUGGCUGAAGACGUUGUUGAUGGUCAAACUCUGACAGAAUCGGAAGCAGUGGUUAAAAUGCCUGGAGAAUCCCACAAACUGACAUGUUCAGCUUCUGGAUUUAACUUUGGUGGCUCUUGGAUGGGUUGGAUCAGACAGGUUCCUGGAAAAGGACUGGAGUGGAUUGCUGUUACUCAUCCUGAUGGCAGUAGCCAUAUAUACUACUCUCAGUCAGUCCAAGGCCGGUUCACCAUCUCCAGAGACAACAGCAGAAACCAGCUGUAUCUGCAGAUGAACAGUCUGAAGACUGAAGAUUCUGCUGUUUAUUAUUGUGCUCAAGAGCCACAGUGA